AUUGAACGCUGGCGGCAUGCCUUACACAUGCAAGUCGAACGGCAGCAUGGAGAGCUUGCUCUCUGAUGGCGAGUGGCGAACGGGUGAGUAAUGCAUCGGAACGUACCGUGUAAUGGGGGAUAACGUAGCGAAAGUUACGCUAAUACCGCAUACGACCUGAGGGUGAAAGCAGGGGAUCGCAAGACCUUGCGUUAUACGAGCGGCCGAUGUCAGAUUAGCUAGUUGGUGAGGUAAAGGCUCACCAAGGCGACGAUCUGUAGCGGGUCUGAGCGGAUGAUCCGCCACACUGGGACUGAGGCACGGCCCAGACUCCUACGGGAGGCAGCAGUGGGGAAUUUUGGACAAUGGCGGCAACCCUGAUCCAGCCAUGCCGCGUGAGUGAAGAAGGCCUUCGGGUUGUAAAGCUCUUUCGGCCGGGAAGAAAUCGCACAGGCUAAUACUCUGUGUGGAUGACGGUACCGGCAUAAGAAGCACCGGCUAACUACGUGCCAGCCGCCGCGGUAA
rnacentral:rRNA from 1 species